UAUCUCUGUAGAGUCUGCAUAUCAAUAAGCGGAGGAAAAGAAACUAACAAGGAUUCCCUUAGUAACGGCGAGUGAAGCGGGAAGAGCUCAAAUUUGAAAUCUUCAAGGUUCUACCUUGACGAAUUGUAGUUUAUAGAAGUGUUUUCUGUUAGUAGGAGUGGCAAAAGUUCUUUGGAAUAGGACAUCAUAGAGGGUGAGAAUCCCGUAUUUGGUCAUUCCUCCUAGCUUUGUGAUACACUUUCAACGAGUCGGAUUGUUUGGGAAUGCAGUCCAAAAUGGGUGGUAAAUUUCAUCUAAAGCUAAAUAUUGGCGAGAGACCGAUAGCGAACAAGUACCGUGAGGGAAAGAUGAAAAGAACUUCGAAAAGAGAGUUAAACAGUACGUGAAAUUGUCAAAAGGGAAGCGUUUGACACCAGUGUUGUUUUUCCGAAAAUCAAUUACGAAUGUUUUAGUUUUUGAGGAAGUUAUGACUUCAUCGGCUUGCUUCCUUUCUUCAUGAAACUUUCUUAAUGCACUUUUCGGUUAACAAGUCAACAUCAAUUUCUUUUGUUGUAAAAGAGUCACUGAGGAAGGUGGCUUUCACUUUCGGAUGAAAGUGUUUAUAGCCUUGUGCCUCUGCAAUCGGAGAGAUUGAGGUCUGCAGCGUAGAUCCUUCGGGGUUAGAUACAUUUGUGCUAAGUUAUAGCUUUUUCAUAGACAACAUUGUUGACUAUGAUUAAUCAUUGUAGCUUACUCGCUUACUGCUAUUUUACCUACGCUUAGGAUGUUGAUGUGAUACUGCGAGCA
rnacentral:rRNA from 1 species